GUGUCAGUUGCACCGGCGUGAUAAACGUCGAGCACUCUAAACAGACUGCCCGUGACAAGCGGGAGGAAGGUGGGGGAUGACGUCAAGUCAGUAUGGCCCUUACGCCCAGGGCUGCACACGUGCUACAAUGGCCGGUACAGAGGGCUGCAAGACCGCGAGGUGGAGCAAAUCCUAAAAACCGGCCCCAGUUCAGAUUGAAGGCUGCAACUCGCCUUCAUGAAGCCGGAUUCGCUAGUAAUGGCGUAUCAGCUACGACGCCAUGAAUACGUUCCCGGGCCUU
rnacentral:rRNA from 1 species